UCAGAGCAGCAUGAUGACGAAGGAAGGAUGCCAACGCAUGCAGCUGGCGAUCAAUGAUCCCGGGGGCGGGGAUCGGAGGAAGACAUGCACAACAGCGCGUGGCGUGGGGUAUCUGCGACAUGACAUGGAUCGGAUCCGGCCUGCUCGUUGGUUUUGUAAACAUUCUUAUCUCCUUCUUGUACCUCGCUUCUCUUCUUUCGUUGCUCGCCGCUUUGCCCGCUUCGCUUUCCUUGCUCUUGGCGCUUCUUUAGUCUAUCUUUCUUUCUCUCUCUCUCUCUCCAUCCACCUCUGCUGCUUCCUGAUAGCUUUGCUCUUUUCCUCUUUGUCUUUGCGAGUUCAAAGCAAAUCUGCCGCGCUUUUGUAGGACCACGCAUGGGCUGGGUCAGGUGAGAGCUGCCUUCGCGACGUGCGUGAGUGACCAGCUCCAGCUGCUUCGGCGUUCCGUCCGAGCUGCUCUGCUCAGUCCUCGCUCCCUUUGGAAGCUGGCGGUGGCGGGGGCCCCUGGACUGGACAUGCCUCCUUCGCUUCGCUUGUUUAUUUGUCGUUCGAGACUAGAGAGAAGAUGGCCGUGCGGACUCUCCCUCCUCUCAUGCGGGCCUAUCCUGCGUGUGCGGUGUGCCCACAUGGCGAGCUACCCCGGCGCCGGGCGGCGCCUAUAGAUUCUUGUCGAGUUUCGUGCAGUGAUUCAAAUCAGAGUGCGAGAUCGUUGCCACACUCCAUUUCCAUCAUCCUGCGGUUACCAAAAAAAAAAGCAAAAUGUCAUGAUAUGAGGGAAUUGGUGUUUUGUUUGGACGGGCCGUUCGAUGUAUGAUCCAAUGGCACAAAUUAUUUGUGCUCCAUUUAUACAUCUUCCGCAUGUUCUUCUUUAUUCAUCUUCUUUCACUAUAUAUAUUAGCAUAUAACCCAUGCUAAUGCAACGAUAUCAGCGAGGAGGGUUAACAACGACGAAGGCAACGCGAGGGGAGAGGUUGAUGACGGCGUUACUGAGGGGAGGAGGUGACAAGGACAAGAGGAGGCUAGCGACGACGUGGCACAGGGGGAGAGGGAUUAAGGAUGAUCCAAAUAAUAUUGUUUAUUGGGUUUGAGUGAAUAAGAGAGAGUGUUUUAUCUAGCGAUCUGAACUGUUGGUUUUGAUGGUGUGUUAAGUCUGGUUGCAUUUUGUUUUGUGGAUUUAGUGUGGAGGUUAUGGGUGUGAUGGUGACUUUGCUGGGUGGGUUUUCAGAUUUUAAAGUGGUAGAUUAUAUAGUGGCAUAGAUAUAUGGUCGAGUACACCCACUAGCAACUACCACCACUAGUGGUGACCUGAUGGGCGUUCAGUCCGGUCUAUUCUGUCUUCAUAAAAUACAAAUAUGGACACACUAUAUAACUAUCCCACUAGUUAUUAGUGAUAUGAAAGAACCGCAGCUAGGAACGGCUCGCCACAGAAUAACGUACGGCGACAGGAGAUGGCUCGAAAAAAGAAAAAAAGGCUGUCGUCUUCCUCCUCCUGUAGCAUCGUGGACCAGAGGCUUUCUGGGUCGCUUUCUCCGCGCGCUCUCAAUGUCCCGCUCGGGUUGCUCACGGUGGGAAAGCACGCGACGCUUGCCGCGACCCAGAACUCCUCGCUGCCUUCCCUUCGAGAUGAGGUGAAGUCUUCUUGUUCCGUCUUAGGGUUUCCGUCGGACUUUAUUGGCUCGCACUCUUUUCCGCACCUUGCUUCCUCGCUCUCGCGUCUUUGGUCGCUGCCGUCGUCGUUUCGUGCUAGCUUCCGCGGUGGGUGGUUUGAAUCUCCGAUUCGUCCCCCGCUUGUGGACGAGGAGUGGCUGGCGCUGUCGCGUGCGGUGUUGGUGUCAAAGAUGGAUCCGAAGGGGCGAAACCCUAACUGGGAUCGAUGGAAUCAGAAAGAGAAUCUUCAAGGUUCCCAAUCGUGGAACAAGAUCCGGAAUCCCAGCUGGAGAUUGAAGCCGAUUCUUGGAAAAUCUGACGUCAAGGAAGACAUUGGCGCUUCGUCCGCUGACGAGGGAGGUCACACAAGUAUCCUCAAAACCCCUCCCGCGGCUAUGAAAAAAGAGGUUGAGGUUGCGCGUCGUCCCUUUUGUCAAAAAUGUGGGGUUGAUGGCCACCAUGCUCGUGAUUGCUUUCAGUCCUUGUGGUGUGACAUUUGUCACAAAGAAACCCACAUGACUGCCCGAUGUGUGUUGCCUAAGCAGAACAAACCUUGUAUGCCUAUUGUGGGUAUGGCGGCUGAUGGAUUAGGGUUUUACUCUUCCCAUUUUGCGAAACCCCUGUCUAGAAAACCUAAAAGAAGUUUCAUCGGUUUGGUGACUGUUAUGGAGGGUUUGAUUUCUGCUGAAGAUCUUGAGAAAGACUUCGGGUUUCACUUUCCCUGGGGCAAGACUUGGAAAGCUACUGUAACACCUAAAUUUGGAAAUCGUAUGAAGAGAGAAUAUUUCCUUUAUCUAUAUGUGGGUGUACCAUCUUUAGUUACUACCACAUGUGAUUAAACACCAUCAAAAGGGGAUUAAAUGACCAAUAACACCUAAAUAAAUCAUGCAUCAUGCUGAGUUUUUAUAUGAUUGUGCAUUAAAUAAAAUAAUAAGGAUAAUAAUAGCAAGGUAAUAUUUACUAGAAGUUGGAUUAAAAUCAUAAAUAGAAAACUAGGGUUGAAAAUAAGAAAAGAUAACUAAAGUAUAUAAAAUAUAAAUAAAAUAUUUCCCAAAUGUGGUAUUUCUUAAAGUUCACAAUAUAAUACGAGACAAAGUAUGCACAAGGUUUGAAUUUAAAACUUGAAUUCAAAUUGAAGUUGGGAAUAAAGAAAAAUAGAAAUGAAAUAAAAAGGAAAAAAAAGACCAAAACUCGGUUUGGGCCGGCAGCCAACCUAUUCAGCCCACCCAAGCUUUCCUCACCCGCGCAGCCCAACCCCGUCGCUGCUACUGCGCUGUUGGGCCCACGCACCAGUCGCACUUAAACUACCCGCGCGCACUGCCUUCUCCCUCUCGCUCUCGCGCACUGACAUCUGGGCCCGCGUUGCCAGGGUCUUCCUCAUCCCGCGGACUUCGGAUGUCGUUGCCGCCGCCGCGCAAAUUCCGGCCAGCUGGUGCAACGGCUUGCCGAACCAGUAGUCCGCAUGGCUCGGUGGAUAAAUGCGCAGGUCGCGCUCCUCUUUCCAUCCUACCUUCCUCUCCCAUCUGCGCGCCUAUUGCCAUACUCGUCGGCCAGGAGCUCCCGCUGUCACAUAAUCCGCACCUCGCCGUCACCCGAAGCCUAGGAUCGGGCCAGGAACCUGCACCGAGCUGUUGUGAGGCUUUCCGCGACGCUAUCGGGUGGAAUCAACGACGGAGCGACUAGUAAUUGCUCACCGUAGUGUGCGGGGUACCGCCGAGCCGCCUGGACGCGUGGACAGGGCCGUCACCGCUUCAUACCGAGGUAAUGCGCCCACCAACGGAUUCGCCUUGACCUCCUCUACGCGUAGUGCUAGGGAAUCGAAAACUUGACAGCUGGGCAUGUAGGUUGGGGAGCUCCAGCCAUGGCACUUCGCCGCGGUGAGCACGCCGUCGGGCUUGGAGGUGUUCGGGGAAGGAGGACGGUUUCUGACCGUCGAUGCGCGAUGUGCGGCUCAAAUCGAAUCAGACGUAGGGAUUAGGCUGGAACUCACCGUGGCCAUUGAUCUCGACGUGGACGGUUACGAUUAGACUCAGCUCUUCCCCUUUUGUUAUUCUGACCCGGACCGUUGGAUCUAUCUUGAGCGGACCAGAUUAGAUCGUGGAUAAGCUAUUUGGUUACAUCGGACCCGGGCCGUCAGAUCCCGAUCUAGCGGUUGGUGCUGCGUACCGAUUGAAGGUUUUAUCUGGUGCACCGGAUCUUGAUCGUGCGGCCCUGGAUGCUCGGUACCCCUUCGUCGUACCUGUUUUGCAUAAGAGCCCUCCUAGUUUUAGGAAACCAACCCGCAAUCCACCCUGUAUAGUGCGCUGAGUCUUAGAAAGUCUUUCGCGAAAGCCCCUGCGCUUUACAGAAAAUGUGGCCUAGUCCAGAGGAUUAGAAAAUCAGAGAAUUGAAUUUAGAAAUAAAUUUUUAAUAUUAAAUUAAUGACAGAAACUUGUUUAAUUUGUAGAAAAUGCGUAUAAACUCCAAAUUGGACCAUUCCAGUUCCUAAAUUUUCAUAAUAUUAUCGUCUAUCCAUUUGUGCCACUGUCUUGACAUAUAAGACAAUUUAAAAUUUAUCUAUCACUUAAUCAUGUAUUAAAUACACAAAACCUUGGAAAAUUCAUAACUUAAAAUCUUUAACUCCAAAUUUAAUGAUUCCAGUUCCUGUGAUCUCAUUUUAGUGUCUAGAUUAUUACUGUGUAUUUUGUUUACAUGGUUGGUGUAAUGUUAAUUCUUGCUAUACUAUGUAUGUAUUGUGUUGAUGCGAGUAGACGAGCAAGCUACAGAGGAUUCUAAGGUUCAGCUGGUAGAGACUGCUGAGCAGGAGCUCAUUGAAGG
rnacentral:lncRNA from 1 species